rnacentral:lncRNA from 1 species
GAAAGUUUGAAAAGGCUUAUCACCUCAAGGUGAAAAAAUAGCCAACUCAGGGCAGAUAUUUCACUGACUCUGGCGACUGAGAAGCAAGGAUGUCAAAAGUUUACAGCUCUCAGCAGGCUUUGGAGAUGAUCCUAAAUGACGCCAACCCCUGUGACUCCGAUGGAGAAGAAAUAUCCCUUCAGCUGAGUUCUGACUCUGAAAUUUCUUCCGAUGAGGAGGAUUCGCCACCUUCAGAAAAGAGAGGUCGCCUGGAGACACACGAGUGGCUGACAGAGACGGCAAAAGACGGCACAGUGUGGCGUGAAGAACAGGUCGGAAGGCCUCUCCAUCACAGCCCAAUUGAAGGUCACGUCACAGAUGGAGAGCCAACUGCUUUGGCCAGAAGAAAGGUGACGAGUCGCUUACAGAGUUUCUUCUGCUUCAUAACUCUGGAAAUGCUUCGGACCAUUCAGGAGUGGACUGUCCAGCAUGCACUCCAGACACAACAUGAGAACUGGUUCAUGGCCAUACCUGAACUAAUGGCGUUCAUUGCCAUCCUGCUUCUGUGGGGGAUUGUCCGCCUUCCAUCGCUGCAUGACGCAUGGUCAGCAAAACUGGGACCGCCCCUGAUCAACAGGAUUAUGGCUCGAAACCGUUUCAAGGACAUCAUUCAGCAUCUACGCUUCGACGACAAGGACACAUGCGGUGAACGAGUUGCGACUGACCGGUAUGCUGCAAUCUCUGACGUUUGGGGGUCUUUUGUUGCCAACUGCAUCACUUCGUACAACCCAGGCAGGCACAUCACCAUAGAUGAGCAACUUUUUCCAACUAAGACUCGCUGCUGUUUCUUGCAAUACAUUGCAACGAAGCCGGACAAGUUUGGUAUCAAGUUCUGUGUGGCAUGUGACCUUAAAUCCAAGUAUGUGUGCAAAUCAUCCCAUAUCUUGGCAAAGACCCCAGUCGUCCACCUGGGGAGAGAUUGUCUGAAAAUGUGGUGAUGAAGCUUAUGGAACAAAGGAAGAACUGUUACAACCGACAAUUUUUUCACUUCAUUCUCACUAGCACGUCGACUGCAC